CCUAGGAGCACUAGUCCAGCUCCAUGUAGUCUAUAUUGGGUCUUUAGGUGGGGGAUCACCUCUUCAGAGCGCCCCACGAUCAGCUCCACCUGUCAGAUGGGGACAUGUGAAAAGAGGGACAAACAGGAGGAGCAGUAUAAGGAGGGAGGAAAGAAAUGAUAGGCAGAAGAAAGCCUAUUCUCUUCUUAUAGGGGCUUCCUGAGUGGUUAUCCCUCCUUUCAUAGGCAAGGGAGACAGGGAAGAAAAUGGGAGAAUGAAAAAAGUCCAGGUUCGAACUUGAUUAGUCAUUUAUAUUGUGAAUUUCAGGAAGUCUUUUCUCUUCCCUAAGCCUCAGUUUCCCCUUCUAUAAAAAUCAAGUGCUUUCCACAGCAGAUAUUUGAGCUCUAACAUUUUGGUCUGCAUUCUGAGCUGCUUUCCAAUUUAAAAACAAUUACAUGUUCUAAAGGCCCUUAGAGUUCUAACAUUCAUUGUUUGCUUUUCCUCUCCAGGGUAGAGGCUCUCAUCAUAUGGGCUCACCUGGAGGUGUGGGGAAAGCAUAAAGAGGAAGACCUUCCACCGUAAGGCUGGCAGGGUGUGCCAGCCUAACAUUGGACCAGGAGAACUUGGUGGAUCAGGCUCCCAAAAGAAAGCGAGAUGAAAGGGAUGGAACUGUUUAACCAAUUUACUUCUUCCUCUGUUAAUCUGGGCAAGCUAUAUUUUUGAAGGUAUUCUUCCAUUUAAUUUAAGUUAUCGAAUUUAUUGGCAUAAAGCUGGACAAAGGAAUUCCUAAUUGUUUCUCUAAUUUCCUCUUCAUUAGUGGUGAGUUCUCCCUUUUCGUUUUUGAGACUAACAAUUUGCUUUUCCUCUUUUUUUAAAAAAAUCAGAUUUACUAAGGGUUUAUCUAUUUUGUUGUUUUUUUAUAGAACUAUUAGUUUUAAUAAUUCAAUAAUUUUUUUGACUUUCAAUUUUAUUAAUCUCUCCUUUUAUUUUUAGAAUUUCAAGUUUAGUGUUUGACUGGGGAGUUUUUAAUUUGUUUCUUUUCUAGCAUUUUUAGUUGCAAGCUCAAUUCAUUGACCUUCUCUUUCUCUAUUUUAUGCAAGUAGACCUGUAAAGAUAUAAAAUUUCCCCUUAUUACCACUUUGGCUGCAUCCCACACAUUUUGGUAUGAUGUCUCAUUAUUGUCAUUUUCUUGGGUGAAGUUAUUAAUUAUUUCUAUGAUUUGCUGUUUCACCCAAUCAUUCUUUAGUAUGAGAUUAUUUAGUUUCCAAUUAUUUUUUGGUCUAUUUUUUGCUGGCUUUUUAUUGAAUGUAAUUUUCACUGCAUUGUGGUCUGAAAAGGACGCAUUUGCUAUUUCUGCCUUAUUGCAUUUGAGUUUGAGGUUUUUAUGUUCUAAUAUAUGGUCAGUUUUUGUAUAGGCUCCAUGAACUGCUGAGAAGAAAGUGCACUCCUUUCUGUCUCAGUUUUCUUCAAAGAUCUAUCAUAUCUAACUUUUCUAGUUUUGCUAUCUAUUUCUUCUUGCAGCUCUCUUAAUUUCUCUUUUAAGAAUGGUACACCACUUGGUGCAUAUAUUUUUAAUAUUGAUAUUGCUUCAUUAUCUAUGCUACUCUUUAACAAGAUAUAGUGCCCUUCCUUAUCUCUUUUAAUUAGAUCAAUUUUUGCUUUUGCUAGAUCUGAGAUGAGGAUGGCUACCCCUCCUUUUUUGAUUUCACCUGAAGCAUAGAAGGUUCUGCUCCAACCUUUUACUUUUACUCUGUAUGUAUCACCCUGCUCAAGUGUAUUUCCUGUAAACAACAUAUUGUAGGAUUCUGGCUUUUAAUCCAGUCUGCUAACCUCUUCCUCUUUAUGAGGGAGUUUAUGCCAUUCACAUUUAUAGUUAAAAUUACUAAUUCCAUAUUACUUGCCAUCUUGUUAACCCCUGCUUAUGCUUUUCUCCUUUCCUUUCCCCUUAUCCCCCUCCCCAGUAUUAAACUUGUGGGCACCACUUGCUUCUCACAGCCCUCCCUUUUUAGUAUCCUUCCCCUCACCUUAGAGUUCCUCCGCCAUCUUACCCUUUGUCCUCACAAUUUCUGUAUUCCCUUCCGCUUAGCUUACUCCUUCCCUUUUCACUUUUCCCCUCCCACUUUUCAAUGAGGUGGGAGAAGUUUCACCAUAAAUUAAAUAUGUCUAAUAUUUUUCUCUUUAAGCCAGUUCCAAAGGCAGUAAGAUACACACUAUGUUCAUCCCCCUACAUUCUUUCUCUCAGAUAUAAUAGGUUUUCUUUGCCUCUCUGUGAGAUGUAGUACCCUCACUUUACCCUUUUCCAGGUACAAUUUCCUUUCCACCUCUAGUUUCUAGAACAAAGUAUACAUGUGUUCUUUAUAUAUCUUUACAGCAGAAAAAUAGUUCCCACGAUUUCUUUUUACCUUUUUAGGUUUCUCUUUAGUUCUAUAUUUGUAGAUCAAACUUUUUGUUUAGAUUAAUUUUUUUCAUCAAAAAUAGAUGAAAUUCACUUAUUUCAUUGAAUGUCCAUCUUCUCCCUGGAAAAAGAUGCUCAUUUUGGCUGGGUAAGUUAUUUUUGGCUGCAUAUCAAGUUCUAUAGCCUUUCGGAAUAUCAUAUUCCAGGCCCUUCGAUCCUUUAAUGUGAACACUGCUACAUCCUGAGUAAUCCUUAUUGUGGCUCCUCUAUAUUUGAAUUGAUUUUUUUCUAGCAGCUUGUAAUAUUUUUUUCUUCAUCUGAUAGUUCUGGAAUUUGGCCACUUUAUUUCUUGGAGUUUUGAUUUUAGGGUCCCUUUCAAUAGGUGAUCGAUAAAUUCUUUUAAUGUCUAUUUUACCUUCUGUUUCUAUAACAUCUGGGCAGUUCUCGUUGAUAAUUUCCUGGAAAAUAGUAUCCAGGCUCUUUUUUUCAUCAUAUUUUUCAGGAAGUCCAAUAAUUCUCAGAUUAUCUAUCCUAUAUCUAUUUUCCAGGUCUGUUGUUUUCCCAAGAAGGUAUUUGACAUUUUUUCCAUAGUUUAAUUUUUUUGGUUGUGUUGGACUGAUUUUUGGUGUCUCCUUGAGUCAUUCAUCUCCAUUUGUUCGAUUUUUAUUUUUAAUGAGUUAUUUUCUUCACUCACUUUUUAAAUAUCUUUUUCUAGUUGUUCAAUUGAGUUUUUAAGUGGGUUGUUUUGUUCUAUGGAAUUUUUUUCCAUUUCGCCAAUUUUAUUUUGUAGAGAGCUAUUUUCUUUUUCCAGUUCACUAAUAUGUUUUUCAAGGAUUUGAUUUCUUUACUCAUUCUAUCUUUAAAUGAGUUGGAUGACCUUUCCAGAUCCUCUUGCCAAGCUUCCCUUUCCUUUUUCCAUUCUUCUUCUAGCUCUCUCUAAAAAGAGCCUUUUUAAUUUUGCUAUGAGAGUCUUGUGUGGGGAAGAGCAGGUUAUAUCCCCCUUUGGGGAUUCAUCUGGAGAUAGUCUGUUUUUAGUUUCCUCAGGGUUUAAAAUCUGCUCUCUAUCAAUAGUUAGAGUUCACUUUAAGUUUUUGCUCAUUUUGUCCAAGAAGAGUCAAAGUAAAACAAAUGCAGUCUGCCUUUUUUGGGGGGGAGAGGGGGGCUGGAUGGUAUUACUCAGCUUCCUCUAAAGACUGCAGGGAGCAGUGGGUACUAGCAGGUACUAGCAAGACAGCAAUGGCUGCACUGCAUCUGGGCUCUGAGACUAUGAGAGUGUGCUGAGACACUGUGGGGGGGGGGGUGGGGGGGGGACGCGGUGUGGCCAGAUCCUGAGAGAUGCUAGCUGUUCAGGGUUAUAGUCUUUACCCCCUGUGUUUUUAGCUUCUCUGCUUGCCUACUAGCUUGCUGCCAGGGCAAAGUAUCCACACUGUGUUAAAGCUCUCUCCACAGAAAUGGCUGAGAUCACACCCCACCCCACUCUGGUCUGCUCAGUGUGAGCUGCCUGCCUUAGUCUGCUGUGCUGCCACUGCCUGCCUUCAGUCUGUGUCCGAUCUAACAAUCCCUACCCACGAGCAAAAACAGACCUUUUCUGACGAAUUUCAAGGAUAUCUUCUCUUGGUAACUAUUUAUGGUUUUUUCCAAUCAAGCACUAUUUCCAAGGCUUGUCAUGAAAUAAAUUAUUCUGAGAGAAAACAUGGAGCUUAAGUAGAUAUGUGCAUCCUCUCCACCAUCUUGGCUGGAAGAGGGUAAUGCAAGAACUUUUAAAUAUAGGUAUAAGGUAUGAGACAAAUCCUCACCAUGUAACAUUGUAUCUCCAUACACUUCAUUAAAACUGCCCAAAGUUGAAAGCCUGUAAUAAAUCAGCAUCCACUCAAAGCUUCACUGAUAUUUUGCUUCACUUUCUCUUAAAACUAUGUGUUUUAUAUUUGCUUGACAAAUAAGACUAUUUCAUUUUUUGUCUCCAUAUCUUCAGGUUCUGAAGAGUGCUUAGCAUGUAGUAAGCUCCUGAUAAAUGCUCAUUGAAUUUAAUUGAAUAAAGCAAUGCAUGAACACCAUCAA